rnacentral:rRNA from 1 species
GCAUAUCAAUAAGCGGAGGAAAAGAAACUAACAAGGAUUCCCCUAGUAACGGCGAGUGAAGCGGGAAAAGCUCAAUCUUAAAAUCUCUAUGGUUUUGAUUAAUCAUGGCGAAUUGUAGUCUAAAGAAACUGUUGUCAGCAAUGUUGUGUGGGUCAAGUCCCUUGGAAAAGGGCAGCAUAGAGGGUGAUACUCCCGUCUUUACCUGUAUAACGUUGCGUACGAUACGUUUUCGUAGAGUCGAGUUGCUUGGGAAUGCAGCUCAAAGUAGGUGGUAAAUUCCAUCUAAAGCUAAAUAUAGGUGCGAGACCGAUAGCGAACAAGUACCGUGAGGGAAAGAUGAAAAGAACUUUGAAAAGAGAGUUAAAGAGUACCUGAAACUGCUGAAAGGGAAUCGCAUCGUUUCCAGUGUAAAUCUGGAGCAUAUUUCAUUGAUGAAUGCUAGUAUUUGUGCUUUGGAGUAGUAUUCUGUACACUUCUUGUGCUUGUUGCUGGUGUUUGUCGGUGCCCUGUGCUCUGGUGUGAUGUCAUAGUCAGUUUGUAUUCCGUGGGAAAUGGUCAUUGAGGAGGUAGCUGCUUGCAGUGUUAUAUCUUGAUGUCUAGUAGUCAUGGGAGAAGACUGAGGAACGUUACAACAUGCAAUGAAGUACUUGCUUGACUUCUGUUGGCCAUUCGCUUGGACAGCUUGCUGUGUUGGUGGAUGUGUUGGCGGAAGUUUGAGUAAGCAACUUGUGCUGUUCGGGACUUUGACAAAAUGGAACGAUGCGUCCCGUCUUGAAACACGGACC